UCCAUUAAAAAAGUCUGUGUACAAAGCCCAAAAACACUUAACCCCAUAGUCUGUGUACAAAGCCCGAACAGUUGCGACCCAAACCCUAUUACACCCGUGACCCAAAGAACCUAAACCCAAUACAUAAAUUAAGUCGGUCCAAACAAAUCAGACCCAAUAAACUAUAUGGCCCGAUGGUCCAAAUCUGUUUUCAGAUUUGGGAACCCUAGGGUUUUCAACCACCUUUUUGCGCCGCAGCUCUCAUGAAGCCUCAGCCUUCACCGUCGCUAUCUCCGUGCAUCACGUGCGCGCUCAUCGCCGGAUCUCUCGGGGUUUACCUGCAAGAAGGGAAAGGAAUGACAGACAUGGCAAAGGAUCGGGGGAUAAUUUGUUAUACCAAAUUGUACACUAAAACAGAGGCUAUAAAAGCCCUUUUGAAUCUGUAAAAUGGGGGAAGAGAAUCAUACAAUAAAAUACAACAUUUUAAGUCAGAACAGAGGUGAUUUAUAUUGUUAUUCAAACGUUCUUUAUUUUUUUUUCUCUCAUUUCGUUUCCUUCUCUUUUAUACAUGCAAAGCAUAGUAGACAAAAAAAACAGAUUUGAAAAUCAAGAGAAAAGCAGUCCACCCUUUUUUUCUUUUAUAUGCGAAUAUAUAAAAAAUAAAAAUAAAAUAUUUUACCUGUGAUUCGCCUGGAAAGGGGAGGAAUUUUGAACCUCCGACCACCGUGUACGGUGGCGCGUGAGGCGCGUGCAGUGGUGGCUGACAAUUGUCACCGGAGUUCAGGCCGAGGAGGGGGAGAGCAUUCUAGGCUCGUCUCUUUUGUUUUUUU
rnacentral:lncRNA from 1 species